rnacentral:lncRNA from 13 species
CCUAGAUAAAUACUUUGCUGUCUCAGUGAUCUUGCAGUUAAGAGACAUGAACAGGAGAUGUCUCAACUAAGAACUUUAAAAGAAAAAGGAAAUAAAUUAUGUUUUCUACACUAAAAUUUCUCAAUCCAGCCUGGAAAAACAAAGAUAAUCCGCUUGCUCUGGGACCUAUAGAAGGAGGCUUGGAAGAAAACUGGCAGAAGUCAGCAGAAAAGGGAUUUGUUUGUGCAUUGACAUGUUUGAAGAGUCCUCAAGACAUUAGGCUGUAUUGGACUGGUAUGAAAAGUUAUUCAGUAUUGAAAAUCACCUGGAUAUUUAUAAAUGGCCACAGUGAAUCUAAUCAGAAAGAUAAAUCUAAUGGUGCAUGAGAGAUCUGAUGUCAUAUUGUCACGUUUAAAAUCUUUAACAGUUUGUAAAGAACUAGUCAAAUGACCUUUUUAAAUGAUAGUAAAUAAGAUGCACUGAAAAAACUAGUGGAAUUAUAAAUGUUGUAAAGGCUUUAAACUGUUAACUUAAUUUCUCAUAUUUUGGCACGCUCCAAGUAGUAAAAAAUCUAAAAUCUUCAGAGAUUUCCAAAUCUUCAGUUUGAAUUUAAACUGAAGCUCUAAUAUGUCUUUGUAUUUUAAGUCUUAUCUCCACUGGAAGGUGAGAAAGAGUUCUAAAAGGGGAGACAAAUAAAAAGAUUAAUAAAUAACA